AUUUCAUUAAACUUUUGAAAUACCAGUACUUAGACCUCAAAAGAAUGCCACAGGGCCCUGUUCUCAUUCUCCCCAUGCACAGAGUGCACCGGGGAGCGCAAGUGCACACUGCGAAUGCCCGAGCCAGCUCUUCCUUCAUGGUGGACACUGGCGCUGGCAAGCACCCUUGGGUCAGUGGCACAAAGCUGUGAGAGGGAGUCAGAAAACGUAGGUUCUGUCCUGAGAUGCGUGAUCUACUGUGCAACCUCAGGCAGGUCACUGGAUAUCUCUGGGCCUCCACUCCUUGGUAAAGUAAUGAGACAAGAUUAGAGUAUGGCCCCCGACGGGCACCUGGGUGGCUCAGUCUGUUAAGCAUCCAACUUCCGCCCAGGUCACGAUCUCACGGUCUGUGAGUUCAAGUCCCGCAUUGGACUCUGUGCUGACAGCUCAGAACCUGGAGCCUGCUUUGGAUUCUGUGUCUCCCUCUCUCCUGCUUGUGUUCUCUCUGUCUACCAAAAAUAAAUAAACAUUAAAAAAAUUAAUAAAGGGGCGCCAGGGUGGCUCAGUUGGUUAAGUGUCCAACUUCGGCUGAGGUCAUGAUCUCACAGUGCGUGGGUUUGAGCCCCACGUCGGGCUCUGUGCUGACAGCUUGGAGCCUGGAACCUGCUUCAGAUUCUUUGUCUCCUUCUCUCUCUGACCCUCCCCUGCUCACACUGUCUCUCUUUCUCUCUCUCUCUCUCAAAAAUAAAAAGAACAUUAAAAAAUUGAAGGAAAAAUAAAAGGAGUAUAGCCCCCGAAUCCAAGACCGAGAGUCUGAGGACGCACCGGCCUAGUCCUGUGCUACAUUGUGCUUCUGAUCGUUGUAACAGACUGCCCACUUUCUCUUUUCUUCUGGCACCGAGGGCAAGGUCAUGUAUUUGUGGCGUGUCUAGCCAGGUCAGGGUUAUAGUUGACCCUGAAUUGGAGACCGCUGGCAGGGCCUCGGGGCGGAACUGGGCCUUUGCGUGGACCCACCCACGCCUGGCGGAGCACUGGCCAGCCACGCCGCGCCCUCACGGGCAGGUGGGGAGGCAGGGAGAGAAGACUCCCGCCUCCAGAGCCCGCCUUUGGCAUGCGCGGUGCUGUAGACAGACCUCGGGGCUUGAACAGCUUAUUAGAAAAUUCCUAAGACUAGGAGAACAUCCAAAACAAGUGUUCUGCUUCAAGGAAGACUGGAGUUGCCAUCACAUCUACUAGACAAACCACAGCCUACUCAGCCAUCACCGUACGGAGCUGAGGGUUGCUAUCAUGUGCAGCAGUUGAGUUCGCUCCAGCCCGUUCCAUCAGUGUGGCACUCUUGUCAGAGUCUGUGUUUUAGGCUCUGAUUCUCUGAUUUAGUGCAAGACAUAGCAUCGGAAAUACUAAAAUCCUAUCAGUUAAACAAGCUUCUGUUUUCUCAUCUUUAAAAUGAGUAUAGUAAUGCCUGCUUGGUCUCCCUCGGAGAGUUUCAUGAAGAUCAAGUGACUGACAUUAGAAUGCGUUGUCCACAGUGGAGCUGAUCACAGGGCUGAUCUGUCUUUUCUAUUGUUACCUCAUAUUGUGACGCGGGGCUGCCUUUCGAAAGCCAGGACGCUCACCCAACACAUUGGGUAGAAGAUGGACACGUUCAUUUGUUUGUCGCCUAUCUGGGUGCUUCCAAGGAGGGUGUUCUUUUGUUUGACCUAGCGUGACCUAGCAUGACCUCCCCUCCUGGCACUGAAUCACGUUACCCUCCUGAGAGCACCAUGCCUUUUUAUGUUAUUUUUUACCAGCAGAAAACGUGGGAAGCCUGUUUUCUCUGUGUCUUCUGUUACUGUUAAGGUCGCUUACCGUUAAGCUGCGUCAGAAGUACUCCUGGAACUUUUAUUUUGUUUUGUAAUUUUUUGAAAAUGUGUUUAUUUUUGCAAGAGAGAGCACAUGAGUGAGCGGGGGAGGGGCACAGAGAGAGGAAGACAGAAGAACCAAAGCGGGCUCCACGCUGAUAGCAGAGAACCUGACGCAGGGCUUGAACCCAUAGACUGAGAUCAGGACCUGAGCCCAAGUCAGAUGCUUAACCAGCUGAGCCACCAGGCACCUCUCACCUGGUACUUUUUAAAAACCAGAUGCCUGGACUUACUGCAGACGUUUUGAAUGAGAGUCAGCCGAGGCUAGACACGGGCAUGACUGUGUGUGAGAAUUCUGUAGGUUGUUCAGAUGUGUAGCCAGAGUUGGAAAUCAGCAGCAGCAGCAUGAGGUGAUGUGAUGCGGGGCGUCUAUAGCUCCUAUUUCCAUUCUUGAAGGAAUUGUUGUUCUGAGUGACAUAGCACCCACCCAAACACACACCCGUUCCUUAAACAGGAUUCUCAUCUUUGCCUCGAUCGACACUGGGGCAGGCUUGGCUCGGCCUUGUGCUCCUCCGUCUGGGAAUAUUUGGCUAUUUGAACGAAGGAACAGAGCCCCGUAAGCGACCCACAGAACAAACACCCAGUAGAACAGGAAUGAGAGCCCAGAAAUAGGGAUUCCCCGACCAGUGCU
rnacentral:lncRNA from 1 species